rnacentral:rRNA from 1 species
CGUAGGGUGCGAGCGUUAAUCGGAAUUACUGGGUUUAAAGGGUCCGUAGGCGGAUCCGUAAGUCAGUGGUGAAAUCUCACAGCUUAACUGUGAAACUGCCAUUGAUACUGCGGGUCUUGAGUAAGGUAGAAGUGGCUGGAAUAAGUAGUGUAGCGGUGAAAUGCAUAGAUAUUACUUAGAACACCAAUUGCGAAGGCAGGUCACUAUGUCUUAACUGACGCUGAUGGACGAAAGCGUGGGGAGCGAACAGGAUUAGAUACCCUGGUAGUCCACGCCGUAAACGAUGCUAACUCGUUUUUGGGCUUUCGGGUUCAGAGACUAAGCGAAAGUGAUAAGUUAGCCACCUGGGGAGUACGUUCGCAAGAAUG